rnacentral:rRNA from 1 species
AACGAACGCUGGCGGCAGGCUUAACACAUGCAAGUCGAGCGCCUCGCAAGAGGAGCGGCAGACGGGUGAGUACCGCGUGGGAACGUACCCUUAUCUUCGGAAUAGCUCUGGGAGACUGGAAGUAAUACCGAAUGUGCCCUUAGGGGGAAAGAUUUAUCGGAUAAGGAUCGGCCCGCGUUGGAUUAGCUAGUUGGUGGGGUAAAGGCCUACCAAGGCGACGAUCCAUAGCUGGUCUGAGAGGAUGAUCAGCCACAUCGGGACUGAGACACGGCCCAAACUCCUACGGGAGGCAGCAGUGGGGAAUAUUGGACAAGGGGCGCAAGCCUGAUCCAGCCAUGCCGCGUGAGUGAUGAAGGCCUUAGGAUUGUAAAGCUCUUUCUCCGGAGAAGAUAAUGACGGUAACCGGAGAAGAAGCCCCGGCUAACUUCGUG